CUGUUCUCGGCUGCGACCGUCUACAUGGAUUACCUGCGCGACUCGGCGAUCGUCGAGGUGCAGAAGAGCAACGUCCGUGUGCUCGAGCAGACCCUCAAACAGACGCGCGAUCGCUUCAAUGUCGGCGAAGUGACGCGCACUGACGUUGCACAGUCCGAAGCUCAGCUUGCCGCAGGCCGGACGCAGCUUCUGACAGCCGAAUCCAAUCUGACGACGAC
rnacentral:misc_RNA from 1 species